rnacentral:rRNA from 1 species
GAUGAACGCUGGCGGCGUGCCUAACACAUGCAAGUCGAACGGAGAUUACGGACGGAAGUUUUCGGAUGGAGGCCUGUAAUUCUUAGUGGCGGACGGGUGAGUAACGCGUGGGCAACCUGCCCUAUACAGGGGGAUAGCAGCUGGAAACGGCUGGUAAGACCGCAUAAGUCGGUUAAAUCGCAUGAUUUGAUCGGGAAAUGAGCAAUCAGGUAUAGGAUGGGCCCGCGUCCGAUUAGCCAGUUGGCAGGGUAAAAGCCUACCAAAGCGACGAUCGGUAGCCGGACUGAGAGGUCGGACGGCCACAUUGGGACUGAGACACGGCCCAAACUCCUACGGGAGGCAGCAGUGGGGGAUAUUGCACAAUGGAGGAAACUCUGAUGCAGCGACGCCGCGUGAGUGAAGAAGUAUUUCGGUAUGUAAAGCUCUAUCAGCAGGGAAGAUGAUGACGGUACCUGAAUAAGAAGCCCCGGCUAACUACGUG